rfam:Zootermopsis nevadensis contig16134, whole genome shotgun sequence.
GCCACGGUGGUCUAGCGGACAGAAUGCUGGCCUUGUAAUCCUGGGGUCUCGGGUUCGAUUCCCGGCGGUGCCC